CACCAACUCUCUAAAGCAGUCAUUGUGUUCCCCCCAGAGAUGAUUAAUUACAUUCUUCUUCUUCUGGAUCCAGGCCUCUUUGGACUUGAUAGACUACUAAGCUAACUCAAAUUCGGCUCGUGCCGACUCCAACUCGACUUUCACACAAGAAAUCUCUUCUUAAUACUUCUCCUCCCGCUCAGUUGCUGCUUAAAGGUGUUCUCU
rnacentral:lncRNA from 1 species